UAAGACCUAGUAUUAUAAUAUCUCUAUUUAGUUCAAAUAAAUUAAACCAACACAACAUACACACUAAGUUAAUUAAUAUAAUUAUUUAAUUAUAUCUCAUAUCAACUAAAUAAUUGAUUAACACACCAAAUUAAUUAAUAUAGUCAAUUAUUAUACUACCUAACAACCAAUUAAUUAAUUAAUUAACACUCCAAAUAAAUAAAAUAAAAUAUAAUAAUAAUAAUAUAAGAAAUAAAUACUAAAAUUGGAUUGUU
rnacentral:lncRNA from 1 species